rnacentral:rRNA from 1 species
ACAAACGCUGGCGGCGUGCCUAACACAUGCAAGUCGAACGAGAAAGGGACCUUCGGGUGAAGACCGAGUGGCGAACGGGUGAGUAACACGUGGGGAACCUGCCCUUCUCUCUGGGAUAACGUCGAGAAAUCGGUGCUAAUACCGGAUACUCCUUGCGGAUCGCAUGGUCUGCUCGGGAAAGCUCCGGCGGAGAUGGAUGGCCCCGCGGCCCAUUAGCUAGUUGGUGAGGUAACGGCCCACCAAGGCGACGAUGGGUAGCCGAGCUGAGAGGCUGAUCGGCCACACUGGGACUGAGACACGGCCCAGACUCCUACGGGAGGCAGCAGUGGGGAAUUUUGCACAAUGGGCGAAAGCCUGAUGCAGCAACGCCGCGUGCGGGAUGAAGGCCCUCGGGUCGUAAACCGCUUUCAGCAGGGAUGAAAAUGACAGUACCUGCAGAAGAAGCCCCGGCUAAAUACGU